AACGAACGCUGGCGGCGUGCCUAACACAUGCAAGUCGAGCGCGAAAGGAGCAAUCCGAGUAGAGCGGUGCACGGGUGCGUAACACGUGGAUAAUCUGCCUCAGGGUUGAGGAUAACCUUCCGAAAGGUUGGCUAAUACUCGGUAAGCUUACGGUGACUUCGGUCGCUGUGAGAAAACUAGACCUCUAUUUAUAAGUUUAGGCCCAGAGAUGAGUCCGCGGCCCAUCAGCUAGUUGGCGGGGUAACGGCCCACCAAGGCUACGACGGGUAGCUGGUCUGAGAGGACGAUCAGCCACACUGGAACUGAGACACGGUCCAGACUCCUACGGGAGGCAGCAGUGGGGAAUUUUCCACAAUGGGCGAAAGCCUGAUGGAGCAACGCCGCGUGUGUGAUGAAGGUCUUCGGAUCGUAAAGCACUUUCGACUGGGGCGAAAAACCUUUGGCUAACAUCCAGGGGCCUGACGGUACCAGGAGAAGAAGCACCGGCUAACUCUGUGCCAGCAGCCGCAGUAAAAC
rnacentral:rRNA from 1 species